GCCUUUUUUUUUUUUUUUUUUGCCAUUUUUCAGCCAGACAUCCUCUGAUUCAUGUGCCCAUCAUCCCAUCCGCCUGAGGGCCAUCGGGCCAGGCACAAAAGACUGUCACGUGACAGACAGUGAUGGAAGUUGAUGGAAGGUGACGUGCAGCGCACAGGAACACAAACGUCAAAGUAGACAGACGGGGCCGACAGGGAGAGGUUUUAGAUGGAGGAGGAUGGAUGAAUGGAUGGAUGGAUGGAUGAAGAAACAGAAGAGGAGAGUUCCAGUGGACUGCUGGAGAGGCUCUGUUCUGCUGUGUCCUCAGGGGUGCAGGCAUAAAAGCACUCCACAUCAACACCAUUACAAAAGAAGAGGAGAAGAAAGCGAAGAGAAAAGACUUGAAGAGAUGGAAAAUGACAUGUGGCCCUUUUAUUUCUCAGAAUGCUGUGCUACCAUCUCUUAACAAUCCUUCUUUUUUUUCUGGAUGUAAGCUGUCUCUAUUCUUUAUCUUCCUCCAUCAGUCCAUCCAGCUCUGUUUGUGUAUUCUCUUCACGCUGCUGUCUGAACGAGCCCAGGACUGCAUGAACCAAAGAGAGGACACACAACAGCAGAAAGGCAAAAACAAAGACAUGUAAGAGGUGAUCUUGAUAUCCUGACCUGCACACAUUACUGACCUAAAAUUACUCAU